GUUCAACCCCUUCCCUUGCUA
rnacentral:tRNA from 1 species